rnacentral:rRNA from 1 species
AUACGUAGGGGGCGAGCGUUAUCCGGAUUUACUGGGUGUAAAGGGAGCGUAGACGGCAAAGCAAGUCUGAAGUGAAAGCCCCGGGCUCAACCCGGGAAUUGCUUUGGAAACUGUUUAGCUGGAGUGCAGGAGAGGUAAGCGGAAUUCCUAGUGUAGCGGUGAAAUGCGUAGAUAUUAGGAGGAACACCGGCGGCGAAGGCGGCUUACUGGACUGUAACUGACGUUGAGGCUCGAAAGCGUGGGGAGCAAACAGGAUUAGAUACCCUGGUAGUCCACGCCGUAAACGAUGAUUACUAGGUGUUGGUUGUCAUAGACAAUCGGUGCCGCAGCAAACGCAAUAAGUAAUCCACCUGGGGAGUACGUUCGCAAGAAUGAAACUCAAAUGAAUUGACGGGG